ACUCCUACGGGAGGCAGCAGUGGGGAAUAUUGCACAAUGGGGGAAACCCUGAUGCAGCCAUGCCGCGUGUGUGAAGAAGGCCUUCGGGUUGUAAAGCACUUUCAGCGAGGAGGAAAGGUUGGCGCCUAAUACGUGUCAACUGUGACGUUACUCGCAGAAGAAGCACCGGCUAACUCCGUGCCAGCAGCCGCGGUAAUACGGAGGGUGCAAGCGUUAAUCGGAAUUACUGGGCGUAAAGCGCACGCAGGCGGUUGGAUAAGUUAGAUGUGAAAGCCCCGGGCUCAACCUGGGAAUUGCAUUUAAAACUGUCCAGCUAGAGUCUUGUAGAGGGGGGUAGAAUUCCAGGUGUAGCGGUGAAAUGCGUAGAGAUCUGGAGGAAUACCGGUGGCGAAGGCGGCCCCCUGGACAAAGACUGACGCUCA
rnacentral:rRNA from 1 species